AUCCUUAUGGUUCUUAAUGCAGGCAGUAAGAUAAUGUUUAGAUCAUUUCUUCUAAAGGCUGUCUAUAAACAGAUUAGUUAUCAUCCAGCUGUCACUAAACAGCUUUGUCGUCAUCCUUUUCAGUUCCAUCCAGAGAGAGGAAUGCACAGCAGAAAUAAGAAGGCGAUGGAGUACAUUGCUAGGGGGUGGAAUGCUCUGCAGGAAGUUGAUAGAGUAAUUGAUUAUUGUGAGCUUAAUGACAAGCGUCUCAUUCCUUCACUUAGGACAGCAAAGGAGAAUUUUGAGUUGGCUCUGGAAGCAGACAACUCAAAUACCCAUGCAAGAUAUUGGCUUUCAAAACUGCAUCUCAAGUACCAUGUCCCCGGGGCGUGCAAAGCUGUAGGGGCUGCUUUAUUAGUGGAAGCUGCAGAGAUGGGUGAUCCAGAUGCUCAAUUUGAAUUAGGUUGCCGUCUAAGAGUUGAGAACGAGUAUGUGCAAUCAGAUCAGCAAGCAUUUUACUACUUGGAGAAGGCUGGUGACCAGUUGCAUCCAGGUGCACUUUACCUCUUAGGUGCUGUGUAUCUUACUGGGGAUUGCGUGAAAAGGGAUGUUGGCUCUGCAUUGUGGUGUUUCCAUAGAGCAUCUGAGAAGGGUCAUGCUGGAGCAGCUAUAGCUUAUGGAUCCCUUCUACUGCAAGGUGUGGAACUUCCAGAAUCAAUAACAAAAUUUUUACUGAAGCGGGGGUCCUCAAGCAGAAUAUCGAGGAGGAAUGGAGUUGAUCCUGAGCUUAAUCCGAUUGAGCUGGCCAGAGAACAAUUUGAAAUUGCUGCAAAAGCAGGAUCUGACCUUGGAUUUAGAUGGUUAAAAAGACUUGAGGAGGAAGAGAAACGUCUGCUGUCGUCCUAGUUCACGAAUAUCAGAGACUAUAAAAGAGUUGAUUCAUUAAUGUACCUACAAGGAUUGAGAUUGUGUGGGGGAAUAGUGACAAAAUGGAUGAGCUGAUGGUGCAGCAGCCGAGAGGACCUUAGAAAUGAUGAGCAGAGUUGAGAGCAAGCGUUUCGAUUCAAUAAAUGAAGAUCUCUACUGAGCUUAAUUGCCCUGAGGUUUUUUGUUAGGAGUACACUCUUAUCUGCUAGCAAAGUUUUGUUGCUCGACAUUUUUGGCUCUUUAGGUCAAUGUAUAUGGUGUGCUGGAAAGUGAUUAAGAUAGAUUGUGUCUGUAAAAUUUGUUCAGGUUUCUACUUCUGUUUAUCUUGUAAUAUAAUUCAAAGUUGGUUGUUGGUUACAUACUGAUAAUUUAUAGGCUUCUACUUUUGUUGAAACUUUAAAUUCUGUUGUCUUGAAGCAACUGUCUAUUUGAGCUUCUCCUAUGCUCGGAUAAAGGGGGAAGUUUGUGGUAAGACAAAGUAAUGAACCAAUAUAAAUUUAAUAACUUCUCUAUGCAUUUAGCAUACAAACUCAAAUUUAAUUUGUAUUGUCAUA